CCCUUAGAUGUUCUGGGCUGCACGCGUGUUGCAAUCGGGAGUACAACAAGAUUGCAAAUCCUAGUGGAUGAGUGGUUCUUCGAAAUUUUCUGAAGACUGGGAUAGUUGAUUGAAAUUAUUCAACUCAAACGAGGAAUUCCUUGUAAUUGUAAUUCAUUAUAUUGUAAUGAAUACGUCCCUGCCCUUUGUACACACCGCCCGUCGCUCCUACCGAUUGAACGAUCCGGUGAAUUAUUUGGAGUAGCUCUGGAAGUUGCAGAACUUCCUAUGUCACGAAAUUUUGUAAACCUUAUCGUUUAGAGGAAGGAAAAGUCGUAACA
rnacentral:rRNA from 1 species